UUGUACACACCGCCCGUCACACCAUGGGAGUUGGUAAUGCCCAAAGUGGUGAGUUAACUUCGGAGACCAUUGCCUAAGGAGGACUGAUGACUGGGGUAAAGUGUAACAAAGGUAUCCUACGAGAACGUGGGGAUGGAACACUCUUUCUACGGAGU
rnacentral:rRNA from 1 species